rnacentral:rRNA from 1 species
ACGACGCUGGCGGCACGCUUAACACAUGCAAGUCGAACGGAGAAUUUUGGUUACUGAGAAUUCUUAGUGGCGGACGGGUGAGUAACACGUGAGCAACCUGCCUCUGAGAGAGGGAUAGCUUCUGGAAACGGAUGGUAAUACCUCAUAACAUAACGAAGCCGCAUGACUUUGUUAUCAAAGAUUUAUCACUCAGAGAUGGGCUCGCGUCUGAUUAGAUAGUUGGUGAGGUAACGGCUCACCAAGUCGACGAUCAGUAGCCGGACUGAGAGGUUGAACGGCCACAUUGGGACUGAGACACGGCCCAGACUCCUACGGGAGGCAGCAGUGGGAAUAUUGCACAAUGGGGGAAACCCUGAAUGCAGCGAUGCCGCGUGGAGGAAGAAGGUUUUCGGAUUGUAAACUCCUGUCUUAAAGGACGAUAAUGACGGUACUUUAGGAGGAAGCUCCGGCUAACUACGUGCCAGCCGCUGC